UGGGGAAUAUUGCACAAUGGGCGAAAGCCUGAUGCAGCAACGCCGCGUGAGUGACGAAGGUCUUCGGAUUGUAAAGCUCUGUCUUUUGGGACGAUAAUGACGGUACCAAAGGAGGAAGCCACGGCUAACUACGUGCCAGCAGCCGCGGUAAUACGUAGGUGGCGAGCGUUGUCCGGAUUUACUGGGCGUAAAGGGUGCGUAGGCGGAUGUUUAAGUGAGAUGUGAAAUACCCGGGCUUAACUUGGGUGCUGCAUUUCAAACUGGAUAUCUAGAGUGCAGGAGAGGAGAAUGGAAUUCCUAGUGUAGCGGUGAAAUGCGUAGAGAUUAGGAAGAACACCAGUGGCGAAGGCGAUUCUCUGGACUGUAACUGACGCUGAGGCACGAAAGCGUGGGUAGCAAACAGGAUUAGAUACCCUGGUAGUCCACGCCGUAAACGAUGAGUACUAGGUGUAGGAGGUAUCGACCCCUUCUGUGUCGCAGUAAACACAUUAAGUACUCCGCCCUGGGAAGUACGAUCGCAAGAUUAAAACUCUAAGUGAAUUGA
rnacentral:rRNA from 1 species